rnacentral:rRNA from 1 species
UACGGAAGGUCCGGGCGUUAUCCGGAUUUAUUGGGUUUAAAGGGAGCGUAGGCCGGGUUUUAAGCGUGCCGUGAAAUGUCGGGGCUCAACCUUGACACUGCGGCGCGAACUGGAGUCCUUGAGUGCGCGGAACGUAUGCGGAAUUCGUGGUGUAGCGGUGAAAUGCUUAGAUAUCACGAAGAACUCCUAUUGCGAAGGCAGCUCACUAAACUGCAACUGACGCUGAAGCUCGAAGGCGCGGGUAUCGAACAGG